AUUGAACGCUGGCGGCAUGCUUUACACAUGCAAGUCGAACGGUAACAGGGUGCUUGCACCGCUGACGAGUGGCGAACGGGUGAGUAAUGCGUCGGAACGUGCCGAGUAGUGGGGGAUAACGCAGCGAAAGUUGUGCUAAUACCGCAUACGUACUGAGGUAGAAAGUGGGGGACCUUCGGGCCUCACGCUAUUCGAGCGGCCGACGUCUGAUUAGCUAGUAGGUGAGGUAAAGGCUCACCUAGGCGACGAUCAGUAGCGGGUCUGAGAGGAGGAUCCGCCACACUGGGACUGAGACACGGCCCAGACUCGUACGGGAGGCAGCAGUGGGGAAGUUUGGACAAUGGGCGAAAGCCUGAUCCAGCCAUGCCGCGUGUCUGAAGAAGGCCUUCGGGUUGUAAAGGACUUUUGUCGGGGAGGAAAUCCCCAGCGUUAAUACCGCUGGGGGAUGACAGUACCUGAAGAAUAAGCACCGGCUAACUACGUGCCAGCCGCCGCCGUAAUAC
rnacentral:rRNA from 1 species